rnacentral:rRNA from 1 species
GUACGCUGGCGGCACGCCUAACACAUGCAAGUCGAACGAAGUAGCAAUACUUAGUGGCAGACGGGUGAGUAACAUGUAGGUAUCUGCCCUUUGGCCUGGAAUAACACGAGGAAACUUGUGCUAAUACCGGAUAAGUCUUUACGGAGAAAGCUUUAUGCACCAUUGGAUGAGCCUGCACUUGAUUAGUUUGUUGGUGGGGUAAUGGCCUACCAAGACUGUGAUCAAUAGCUGAUUUGAGAGGAUGAUCAGCCACAUUGGGACUGAGACACGGCCCAAACUCCUACGGGAGGCAGCAGUGGGGAAUCUUGCACAAUGGAGGAAACUCUGAUGCAGCGAUGCCGCGUGAGUGAAGAAGGCCUUUGGGUUGUAAAGCUCUUUCGUCGGGGAAGAAAAUGACUGUACCCGAAUAAGAAGGUCCGGC